GUUCGGAUUGUAGGCUGCAACUCGCCUACAUGAAGCCGGAAUCGCUAGUAAUCGUGGAUCAGCAUGCCACGGUGAAUACGUUCCCGGGCCUUGUACACACCGCCCGUCACACCACGAGAGUUUGUAACACCCGAAGUCGGUAGGGUAACCUUUAUGGAGCCAGCCGCCGAAGGUGGGACAGAUAAUUGGGGUGAAGUCGUAACAAGGUAGCCGUAUCGGAAGGUGCGGCUGGAUCACCUCCUUUCUAAGGAA
rnacentral:rRNA from 1 species